rnacentral:rRNA from 1 species
GAUGAACGCUAGCGGCAGGCCUAACACAUGCAAGUCGAGGGGUAGAGCACUUCGGUGUUUGAGACCGGCGCACGGGUGCGUAACGCGUAUGCAAUCUGCCUUACACUAAGGGAUAGCCCAGAGAAAUUUGGAUUAAUACCUUAUAGUAUAUUGAUGUGGCAUCACAUUAUUAUUAAAGAUUUAUCGGUGUAAGAUGAGCAUGCGUCCCAUUAGCUAGUUGGUAUGGUAACGGCAUACCAAGGCAAUGAUGGGUAGGGGUCCUGAGAGGGAGAUCCCCCACACUGGUACUGAGACACGGACCAGACUCCUACGGGAGGCAGCAGUGAGGAAUAUUGGACAAUGGGCGCAAGCCUGAUCCAGCCAUGCCGCGUGCAGGAUGAAGCAUCUAUGGUGUGUAAACUGCUUUUGUACGGGAAGAAACACCUCUUCGUGAAGAGGCUUGACGGUACCGUAAGAAUAAGGACCGGCUAACUCCGUGCCAGCAGCCGCGGUAAUAC